rnacentral:tRNA from 2 species
UUCCUAAUAGUAAAACAUUGAUUUGCAAAAUCAAAAUAAACAAUCAAUUAA